AUUGGUCUUAUUUAUGUGUCUAUAUACUAUAUAUUAUAUAGUAUAGGUAUUAACUAACGUAAAUUGACUAAAAUUUAACUUAUUAGGUAAUCAAUGUCUUAUUGUUACAGCCUAACACAUAUUUAAAUCAAUAAAAUAUGUUUUCAAUAUUUCCUUAACAUUUGUUCUUUGAAAAUCAACUGUAUAGUUGAACAAUUAUUUAUUUGAAAAAAAAAACAUUUUAAUUUCCUGACAAAACGAAAUUAACUUUUUAAAUGUUUUAGAAUAUAUGAACACAAAUUAAACAACAAACGAAAAUGGCGAAGGUAUGUAAUGUAAUUGUUGCCCGUUACAGAUGAUGAUCACAAUACAAGUUAUUACAAUAUAAACCUAAAGAAAUACGUUCAAAUAAUUCUUCUUUGACAGUUGCCAUUUGUGAUCCAAAUAGGACAUACAUACGUUGUUCCGUGUAAUUUAAUUAAUUUUUGUGAACAUAAUUAAAUUACUAUUUUGUGCAUUUCUAUAAGUGUAUAUUUAUUUUUUAUAAAAACGUAAAAUACAACUACCUAAUUAUUGUUUUAUUAAACAAAUUUUAAAUUUUUGUAACCAUUCAUUUUUAUAAAGUAUAGCGAAGUACACAAUAUUAUAUUUAUUAUACAUUUAUUAGAAGAAGAUAAACUUCACUACAAUAUUUAUAGAAUAAAAUGAAUACCUCUAAAUUCCCAAUGAAGACUAUUCUAGUAUUUGCAGUAUACUUAAUCAAAUAUUCUCUGGAACUAGAUUAUUCAAAAAUACAGGGGUUUAAUACUAACAUGGAAGAAGCUACACAAUUCCUUCGUGAAUGGGAAAAUGAAGCAGUAGCCUUGUGCAAUAGAGUGGCGAUGGCACAGUGGACAUAUGCAACAAAUAUAACGGAAUACAAUAAAAAACAAAUGAUAGAUGAACAAAAAUUGAACUCCAAGUUCAAUAGAGUAUCUUGGAGGAAAGCUUCUGAUUUCAUGUGGACUCGUAUAUCUGAUCCUAUUAUACAAAGACAACUCAAGAUUUUGGCACUGAAAGGCCAAUCGAAUGUACCCGAUUCAAAACUAAAUCAGAUGCAUUCGAUUUUAAAUGAAAUGAAAGAUAUUUAUGCUAAAGCGAAAAUAUGUCCAUUCAAUUAUAGAUUGACAUCGUAUUGUGAACUAAGUCUUGAACCAGAUUUAGUAAGAGUAAUGGCUAACUCAAGAGAUUUUGAAGAGUUAUUGUAUACAUGGCGUUCAUGGAGAGAUAAUAUUGGACAUGAAAUUCGACCCAAAUACAUAAAAUAUAUGGAAUUGGUUAACGAAGCUGCAAUGGCAAUAGGGUUUGAAGACGCGGGUCAACAACAAAUUGCCAUGUAUGAAGAUGCAAAUUUUAAAGCAAAACUUGAAAAUUUAUGGACAGCUAUAGAGCCAAUUUAUAAACAUCUCCACUCUUACGUUCGGCGAAAAUUAGUUUCUCACUAUGGUACACGCAGGGUCCGAGUCGAUGGACCAAUUCCAGCGCAUUUACUAGGUAACAUGUGGGCACAGAACUGGAAAAACAUAAUAGACUUAGUGAUUCCAUUUCCGAAGAAAAGACGUAUUGAUGUUUCCGGUGAAAUGUUACGUCAAGGAUACACGCCUUUAAAGAUGUUCCAAAUAUCUGAAGAAUUUUUCACAUCACUUGGAUUAAAAGCGAUGCCAGUGGAAUUUUGGCAUAAUUCAAUACUGGAAAAGCCAACAAACAGGCCAGUGUCAUGCAAAGCAUCUGCUUGGGAUUUUUGUGAUAAAUAUGAUUACAGAAUAAAACAAUGCACUGAAGUUUCAAUGGAUGAUCUAUUUUCGACACAUCACGAAAUGGCUCAUAUUCAAUAUUAUCUCCAUUAUACAGAUCAGCCAUUGCUGUUUAAAGAAGGAGCGAAUCCCGGUUUUCAUGAAGCUUUGAGUGAUGCAGUUAUUCUUUCUAUUUCCACACCACGACAUUUACAUAGGAUUGGACUAUUGAAUAACAUAACCGACGAUUAUGAAGGUCAAAUAGACUUCUUAAUGGAAAUGGCUUUAGACAAAAUUGCUUAUCUACCUUUUGCAUAUUCAGUUGAUUUAUGGCGAUGGAGCGUUUUUUCCAAAGGCGUACACAACUUAAAUGCUCGAUGGUGGGAUUUAAAAUUAUUGUAUCAAGGAAUCAUUCCACCGAUUGCCAGGGAUGAAAACGAUUUCGAUCCAAGUUCUAAGUAUCAUGUGAUCGCUGAUACUCCUUAUAUAAAAUACUUCAUCAGCAUCAUUCUACAGUUUCAAAUUCAUGAAGCCUUGUGUACAGCAGCAGGACAUAAUGGUCCAUUACAUACUUGUGACAUAUACCGUUCAAGAGAAGCUGGUCGAAUAUUGAGUGAAAUGAUGUCAAUGGGCUAUUCAAAACCGUGGCCACAAGUUAUUAAAAUCCUUACUGGAGGAAAAACGAGUGAAAUAGAUCCACGUCCUUUGAUUGAAUAUUUUAAACCACUCACACACUGGCUAAUUAAUGAAAAUAAAGCAGAACGAAUAGGAUGGUCUAGAUUAAAUGAAGACAUAGCACUGUUUGAGCCCUUAUCGAAGGCUAAUAAUUGCUAUUCAGUCAACAAAUACUUAAUUAUAUUUGUUGUUUUUAACUUAUUAAAAAAUGUGUACCAUUAAUUUUACAUGUUUAAUAAUACUUAAACACUUUUUAAUUUUAAUUUUUAAUGUAGUUUUAACCCAAUUUGUUCCGUAUUAUUAAUGUUAUAUAUUGUAACUCAUCGGUAAAAUAUUUAUGUAAAAUAGGUACAUUAAAACGUUUUGAUUUACCUACUUCUAUUAUAUAAUUUAUCCAUUUACUUAAUUUAAAAUAAAAUGAAGGAUGUAUGAUUUAAAAACACGUUUUAUUUAAGUGCUUGUAAUAUUAAUGACUACAAAGUACAAACACCACAAUAUGUUGUAGAACUAUCAAUAAUUAAUAUUAUAACCAUAAGUCAUAAACCUAUAAAUAAAAAAUACUGCAGGCGAAUAAACCUAACCACACAUAAGGGGUCCGAUUGACAUGAAAUAUGGUACACACUAUACAGACAUUCAAUACCACCAGGAAUCCAGGUCAUAAUAUCCUGCACUGAAAUAUCCAAGUCGAAGUUAAAACACCAAAUUGUUGAAAAAAUCAAAUUAGAAAAAAAUAUGGAAAAUAUGGAAAAUACCCAUUUUAAAAACAAAAUACCUAAUAAUAAUUAGA